rnacentral:rRNA from 1 species
CCUACGGGAGGCAGCAGUGAGGAAUAUUGGUCAAUGGACGAGAGUCUGAACCAGCCAAGUAGCGUGAAGGAUGACUGCCCUCUGGGUUGUAAACUUCUUUUAUCAAGGAAUAAAACGAGGCACGUGUGCCUUUUUGUAUGUACUUUAUGAAUAAGAAUAGGCUAACUCCGUGCCAGCAGCCGCGGUAAUACGGAGGAUACGAGCGUUAUCCGGAUUUAUUGGGUUUAAAGGGAUCGUAGGUGGGUUGUUAAGUCAGUUGUGAAAGUUUGCGGCUCAACCGUAAAAUUGCAAUUGAUACUGGCAGUCUAGAGUACAGUAGAGGGAGGCGGAAUUCGUGGUGUAGCGGUGAAAUGCUUAGAUAUCACGAAGAACCCCGAUUGCGAAGGCAGCUUACUAAACUGUGACUGACAUUGAUGCUCGAAAGUGUGGGUAUCAAACAGGAUUAGAUACCCGUGUAGUG